rnacentral:rRNA from 1 species
AUUGAACGCUGGCGGCAGGCCUAACACAUGCAAGUCGAGCGGAUGAAGGGAGCUUGCUCCUGGAUUCAGCGGCGGACGGGUGAGUAAUGCCUAGGAAUCUGCCUGGUAGUGGGGGAUAACGUCCAGAAACGGGCGCUAAUACCGCAUACGUCCUGAGGGAGAAAGUGGGGGAUCUUCGGACCUCACGCUAUCAGAUGAGCCUAGGUCGGAUUAGCCAGUUGGUGGGGUAAAGGCCUACCAAGGCGACGAUCCGUAACUGGUCUGAGAGGAUGAUCAGUCACACUGGAACUGAGACACGGUCCAGACUCCUACGGGAGGCAGCAGUGGGGAAUAUUGGACAAUGGGCGAAAGCCUGAUCCAGCCAUGCCGCGUGUGUGAAGAAGGUCUUCGGAUUGUAAAGCACUUUAAGUUGGGAGGAAGGGCAGUAAGUUAAUACCUUGCUGUUUUGACGUUACCAACAGAAUAAGCACCGGCUAACUUCGUG